ensembl:piRNA 21ur-25 ncRNA
UGAACUCUUGGUCUACGUUUU